UACAGAGGGUGCUAGCGUUGUUCGGAAUCAUUGGGCGUAAAGGGCGCGUAGGCGGGUGUGCAAGUCUGCGGUGAAAGCCUCCAGCUUAACUGGAGAAGUGCCGUGGAUACUGCUCAUCUCGAGGAGGGUAGGGGCAUCUGGAACGUUGGGUGGAGCGGUGAAAUGCGUUGAUAUCCAACGGAACUCCGGUGGCGAAGGCGAGGUGCUGGACCCUUUCUGACGCUGAGGCGCGAAAGCCAGGGGAGCGAACGGG
rnacentral:rRNA from 1 species